rnacentral:misc_RNA from 1 species
GAAAUGCGAUAAGUAAUGUGAAUUGCAGAAUUCAGUGAAUCAUCGAAUCUUUGAACGCACAUUGCGCCCGCCAGUAUUCUGGCGGGCAUGCCUGUCCGAGCGUCAUUUCAACCAUCAAGCCCCCGGGCUUGUGUUGGGGACCUGCGGCUGCCCGCAGGCCCUGAAAACCAGUGGCGGGCUCGCUGUCACACCGAGCGUAGUAGCAAUCACCUCGCUCAGGGCGUGCUGCGGGUUCCGGCCGUUAAACAGCAUUACAAAACCCAAGGUUGACCUCGGAUCAGGUAGGAAGACCCGCUGAACUUAAGC